UAAGGAAUAUUGGACAAUGGGGGCAACCCUGAUCCAGCCAUGCCGCGUGGUGGAAGACGGCCCUCCGGGUUGUAAACACCUUUUAUAUGGGGAUAAUGGUUUUCUAUAGGGAGACUUGCAGGUACCAUAUGAAUAAGCACCGGCUAACUACGUGCCAGCAGCCGCGGUAAUACGUAGGGUGCAAGCGUUGUCCGGAUUUAUUGGGUUUAAAGGGUGCGCAGGCGGUUCUUUAAGUUCGUGGUGAAAGCGUCCAGCUCAACUGGAUACCCGCCAUGGAUACUGGGGAACUAGAGUGUGUUCGAGGGAGUUAGAAUGCGUGGUGUAGCGGUGAAAUGCAUAGAUAUCACGCAGAAUACCGAUUGCGAAGGCAGACUUCUGGGACAUUACUGACGCUGAGGCACGAAAGCGUGGGGAGCGAACAGGAUUAGAUACCCCCGUAGUCC
rnacentral:rRNA from 1 species